AGAAGCCUUCUGAUGUGAAGUCAAUGGCUGGGAGAUUCAAAAGAUGUAGAAGAAAAGACAAUGAUGAACCAAGAAAAAAUGAAGGAAAGCAUUAAAAAAAGGAGUCACAAUGACAUGUUUCAGUUGUCAUCAUGUUGGGCACAGCAAAAAGGACUGCAAAUCAGGGGUAAGCAUUUUUUUUCUUUUCAGUUUUUUAGUUUAAUCCUUCUUAGACUUCCAACUCUUUUUCCUAUAUGUAUAUCCCUCUCAAUAGCCAACUACGACCACUAAAUCAAGGACAAUGACUCAACCUAACACUCAACAGUCCUCUUCUUUAUGUUCAGAAAUUUCAAGAGUUAGAGGAACAAGAAGACAUAUAGCUGGUUCUUCAACUGCUACAUCAAUGGAUGCAACUACAAAAGCAAUAUCUGCUUCAUUUGGAAGAAAAAGAACAAGAGACAUGAAAUUUGGUGUUUAAACAGACAUACAAUCUGGAAGACAAGUCAGUAAUUUUAAGAGACCAAGUGAAAGAGUUAUCUCAAGUGGGACAACUUUAAAGGAUGCAUCACUAAUAAAUAUUGAUUUUGGAUUCAAGCCAUUUGAUUUGGAAUGGAAAGGGAAAAAUGCUAUUACGGGGAACCAACUUCAGCAAAUGCAGCACUCAAAAAGAUGCAAACCAAGUCUAAAAAUAAGAGUUCAACUCAAUCACGAGAUGGCUAGUUGAUGUGGUUUCUGUUGGACAGCCUUCUUUUGGGUUAUUUUGAUGUAUGUUAGCAUUUAGACUUGCCAUUUACACUAUCUAAAAGUUGAUUAUUUUGAUAUA